GAGAGAUGAAGAAGAAGAGCUUGGUGAUUGGAUGUUCAUGGCUUGCAUUGAUAGUGAUGGCCUCUCUCCUUUGGGCAACUCCGUCUUCUGCUGCUGCUUCAUUUCAAAAAGUGGAGCAGACCGUUUUUCCUCAAGCUGGUUGCAGGUGUUGCUGGUUCAAAAGGACCCCACUUCUCGUAUGUGGAAAAGCAUGCUGUAUUGAUGGAUGUUGUAGUUUGCCUUAAUAAGAUGCAGUGCAUCCGCAAGACUCCCCUCAGACAUGUUCACCUCUAUAUGCACUAUAUUUUCCCUUUCUUAUUUCUCAAGUUUUCUAAUGAAUCCACAAUGUUUGGUCGUUCAUGGUUGUGUAGCCAUAUUAUGAUUGCUCCUUAACAUGAAAUUUGAGGGGAAUUGUUUAACGCAUAUGUUGUUGACCGGACGCCAAUAAUUGAAAAUAGUCCAAUAAAUGUAUAAAAAGAGUCAAGAACUUUGUCA